rnacentral:sRNA from 1 species
ACACGAGAGAGGAGGUGGUCUGAAGUUGAAGAACUCUAGGACGCGUGAGGUGGCUGCCAGCUAGCCGCUGUCGCUGACGGAUUCACCCCCGCGCACGCGGCGAGCGAAUCCACGGCAGUUACCCGGCCCCCGAGCCCCCGGUCCGUCCGACCGGGACCUGCACCAGCAGGUACGGCUCGGGGGCUGUUCCGU